ensembl:lncRNA
AACCAGUGCUUGCCAUAAAGGCAUGCAAAGUUAUCCAUCACUCUCAGACAAAUUAGCUACCUUUAAUGCAGCGUAUUUUGCUGCAGUUAGCUUCAUUCUCACUUGUAUAUUACAGACUUCUGAAUGGUUUGUAAAGUACGCUUUGCAGCUCCUCUGUGAUGUGUUUUUGUUUAUCACUGUAGAUGUGUGAAUGUGUAGUAUCCUACCACCCCUGGAAAAUAUUUAUGAUUCUACGAUUCUGGGAUUUAGCUUAUCUAUCAAUCAAUGUGUGUUUCUGCCACAUGGAGUUUUAUCACUGAAAACACUGUUAUUACAGUAAAGUUAUAUUUGAAUGUAGUUGUUAUGCAAACUAGUUAUUUUGCCCCUACUGUGGACAUAACACAAGUCCUGUAAUGUCCUGUGAUGGUCUGCAACUGACAGCUAGGUCACAUACCUGAAACUAUGCAGUGUGCAGUUGUAGGUAAUUACAUUAGCGCAUGCAAAUCUGAUGUUUACCUGACCACGAUCCAUACAACAUAAGGGCCUUGGCAAACAUAUAGCUUCUUAUCGGCUUUGAUUUUUCUUUAUUGCUUUAUAUAUUCAGUGUUUGACAGCAGUGGAUUACUUGAAACUGAAUGGCGUUUUAAAUACGUAGCUAGUAGUAGUGUCACUUUUAACAUGUAUGCCCCUAUAAAAGCCAACUCCCAGCUGAAUGAGCGUGAAGAAUAAAGUUGCUGACCAUUCUCUGACCUGGGCCUUGAUUUUAGAAACCGCAUAGCAGCCAGCAGGUCAGUGUGAAGCAGGAUGUGCUGCUGCUGCUUGGAGAAGCAAAAAAUCCUAAUUGGAUUUCACAGAUGUUCAACCAGUGGCCCAGAGGUUUAAGCUUAUUGUAUUAAAGCAGAGAGUAGGUGACCAAAAGAGAAGUGAUCAGACUCCGUUAUUGUUCUGUUUUACAAUUACUGUGUGAAAUAACCUGCCUUCUGGUAACUGUUCGUGUAAUGGACCAUCUUAAAAGGAAAAAAAAAACAUUUUAUUUAUAAUCACAGCGAUGUUUUUGUAGGUAUGAUGCAGGAUGAGAUACCUGAAAAAGAAGGAAUAUGUGGCACAGCCCUGUUGUUGCUUCCUCGCGUUCCUUACUCUCUGGGCCACUUCUAUGCCUAAACACUGCCCUGACUGAGGUGAGGGGCCGAGGGAGGGGGAGAUUUU